rnacentral:lncRNA from 1 species
GCAACUGUCACCUAGAGUUGCUCCACAUCACAUAAGGCCAUCGAACUGUAACUUAGCGACUUUUCUUCAUUUCUCUCUUCUCACUUUACCAUCUGGUAACUAUCACUCCACUGUCAACUCUCUGCAGAUGAACUCUUUCGUGUCCCACAUGAGUGAGACCAUAUUGUGUUUGUCUUUUUGUGCUUGGCCUAUUUCCUUCGAUAUGAUCAUCUCCAGUGCCAUCCAAUCACUAAAAAUUAUAGAAUGCCAUUCUCCUUUACGGCUGAAAGAACCUAACAUGUUUCUUAUACCUAAAGCAGUUGUUCUUAACCUUCCUGAUGCUGCAGUUCUUUUAUGCAGUUUCUUGUGUUGUGGUGAACUCCCUCCCAUAAAAUUAUUUUCAUUGCUACUCCACAACUGUAAUUUUGCUACGGUGAUUAAUCAUAAUGUAAAUAUCUCCAUUUUCUGACAGUGUUAGAUGGCCCCCGUGAGCAAGUUAUUUGACCCCCAAAGGGGUCACAGCAUACAGAGUGAGAGCCACUGAACUGAUCUAGACUAAAUAAGGAGCCCAAGAUUCAAUACCCAAAACCCAAAGCAGUAAAUCACGUUCAUUAGACAUAAGUAUGCACGCCUCAAAAAAAAAAA